GGACGACUUUGAGGCGGGACGGUAUAUAAAUUAUUUGUAAUCGAAACAUGCCUCCACCCACCCGUCCGAGGAUCCGCGUGUUGCCAUGUUAGGUUAGGUUAGGGUGGGCAUGGUAUGGUUUUAAACAACCGGUAACCGCACGUACGGGGUACAAACUCGUGCGCAGGAUAAGUAUGCUAAAAGGUUCGAUUUCGGUUCGUCCCACGGGGAGUCCCGAGACCCCGGCGAAACGGACAGUAAUGUUUGC